UUGUUUCCCCUGUUGUUUCUGUUGUGUUCUGUGUUUCCUUUGAGUUUCUUGCUAUGAUGAUUUUUGCAAAAUUGCAGAAAUUCAUUUUCUUUAUGACUUCAAGAACAUGCACUAAUAUUUGAAGGUUAUACCGCCAUCAUGAAAUUUAUUCUCUAAGAAAUGUUUGAUUUGCAAUUUUUUAUUUUUUUAUUUUUUUUUUUAAUUUCUAUCAAAGAUAUUUAAAAUUUUAAUAGUUAAAAUCAGUUGAAAUAUGCAUUUUUUUUUUUUAACCAUGAUUUCUUUGUAAACAUUUUUUUUAACUGUGCUUUAUUUCUUCAAUAUUUCCCUUUAAAAAUGAAUAAUAAGUGUAUUAAAAUUUAUAUAUUUGUUCUUGUGACCAAUAUUUAAAAUCUUAGAAUUCACACCAUUCAUGUGUAUAUUGUUUGAUUAAAUAUAUUUUUCUUUGAGAUUAAGAAGGGUGAAGAUCAAGUAAUUAUUCAAUAUCUCCAUAUCAAAAAGAAAAUGUUUUAAGAUACUGUAUAUGAGUUAAAUUUUAUACAUUUUUCUUUCAUUUAAUGUGCAAGAUGUGUGACCCCCCCUCCCCAAAUUAUUCGGGGGGGGGGGGGUGUUGUUUUGUGUUUGUACUUCCAGUAAUGUAAAUGUGAACAAUAUUGAAGAACAACGUAUGAAAAUUAUAUUUUAUUCAUCAUUUAUUGAAUUUAUUGACAAAGCAGUUACAAAAUAAAUCAAAAUG
rnacentral:sRNA from 1 species